rnacentral:sRNA from 1 species
AUCGCUUCUCGGCCUUUUGGCUAAGAUCAAGUGUAGUGACAAAUCUUCUGAAAGAGAAACUAGGAAAACUACUCCAU